AGAGGGUGCGAAUAUGCAGUGGUUGUAGCAAUACAGUGCAUGCAUGUGUUUACAAUGAACAUGUAGGGAAGAAGUGAAAAGAGAGGAGAGAAAAGGAGAGGAAAACGAGAGUAAAGAGAUGAGGGGAGUGAGAAAGAGAAAGAGAGAGAGAGAGAGAGAGAGAGAGAGAGAGAGGAAAGAAAAAUCAUUAUUAAGGAUAAAAAGCUAAUAUAGCAGUUAUUUUCAAGAGUUCAAGUAUUGAUGAACAAUUACUUGGUGACUUUGAAUGACUGAACAAGCUGUAAAAGCUCUUUGGCCCUAGGGUCAGUAUUAAAAUGGUCACGAAUUGGUUGUAGCAUAAGGUUCAAAGCGUCAGAAAGACCUUUUUUCAAAUCACCAGGGUGAAGAUCGCCACUAAGAUAAGCCUUAUGGAAAUCUUCUUUAUUGGUAAAGGUGAUAUCACCACCAUACUCUUCUUUUCUAGAAACAUGGAAAUGACCGAAUUUGGGGAAUACUAGAGUAUUAAUAUAUUCAAUGCAUGGAUUUCCUUCAAUAAUGCCUGGAGGACAGAAAGCCUUUUUAAUUUUUUUAACAACAGCUUCAGGAGUAUCUUCAACAAAUAUUGCAGAAGAAGUGUCAGAUUUUGACAUUUUUUCUUGUCCUUCAAGUAACCCAGGAAGCAUCUUAUGGGAAAGGAUUACAGGUUUAUGUUUGAUUCCAGCUGCAUCACAGUAUUCUCUAGCAAGCAUGUUAACUUUUCUUUGAUCCAUACCUAACUGGCAAAUAUCUGCCUUGAGUUGGAAUAUAUCAGCACAUUGCAUGCAUGGAUAAAAUACUGAAGCACACGGUUGUUCAUCAUUUUCUUGUCUUCCCAUAAUUUGGCAACAUCUUUUAAUUCUAGUAAUAUUAAACUUUCUAGAAAUAUCAAAAACUCUUAACCAAUACUCAUUAGAAUCUUCCCCAUUAAUAAAAUCAGAUGCCCAAACAAAUCUUACAUUUGUCAUAUCCAUUCCUGCAGCCUUCCAUAUGUGAACGAAAUAUUCACCAACAAUCUUAAUUUUUUCAAGAUCACCACCCAUCUUAUUAUUGAGCAGAGCAAACCAAUCUGCUACGUAGAAUACAAAAACGCAUCCGCAUUCAGUUAACUUAUUUACAUUAAUAGUCUUUAAUAUACAUUGAGCAAUAUGCAUUCUUCCUGAAGGUUCAAAUCCAUCAUAACAAAUUGGAUGUUCUUUUCUCUUUAAUAAUUCCAACAAUUCUGCUUCUUGAAUACAUUCUUCACCAACUGAUAAACAUAACUUAUGUCUUUCCUCCAAAGUUAACUUUGAUCUUUUCAAUGGCUCUUCACUUCCUUUCAAAAUGUAUUUGGGGAUAGUUUCAGUACAACUAUUAGAUGACAUAUUUCCAACAAGUUCUUUAUGAGAAGUUUAUUUUUCUUUUUCUUGAAGAAUCUUUCUCCCUUUAAACCUCUUUUUCAGUCCUAAAUGAUCUUUUCCAGUCUAAACUAUUUAAAAGAACUUUGAGCGCCAAAGACACACUAAUUAUUUGCCCUAUAAUAACUUGAGUCAUGAAUUCAGAACUUCUAGAAUUACUUUUUUUGGCAUAUUUCCUCCUUUAAGUCGUUCAAAGUGUGUUUUAGUACACUCUAAAGCUAUGAGUAGUGUUUAUAGGAAGGAAAAAGAAGGAAAAAUGGUAAAAUUUGUUAGCAUGUAAUAUUUAAAUUCUAAAAAUUAAAGAUAUAAUCGAAGUAACUAGAGCCUAAAGAUAGAAACAAAUAAAUAAUUUAAAAUUUAGAUAACUAUUUAGAUUGCAAAAUGCGAAUUAUGAAUAUUUAU
rnacentral:antisense_RNA from 1 species